rnacentral:rRNA from 1 species
UCGAUUCCCUUAGUAGCGGCGAGCGAAACGGGAAGAGCCCAAACCAACAAGCUUGCUUGUUGGGGUUGUAGGACACUCUAUACGGAGUUACAAAGGACGACAUUAGACGAAUCAUCUGGAAAGAUGAAUCAAAGAAGGUAAUAAUCCUGUAGUCGAAAAUGUUGUCUCUCUUGAGUGGAUCCUGAGUACGACGGAGCACGUGAAAUUCCGUCGGAAUCUGGGAGGACCAUCUCCUAAGGCUAAAUACUCUCUAGUGACCGAUAGUGAACCAGUACCGUGAGGGAAAGGUGAAAAGCACCCCGGAAGGGGAGUGAAAUAGAACCUGAAACCGUGUGCUUACAAGUAGUCAGAGCCCGUUAAUGGGUGAUGGCGUGCCUUUUGUAGAAUGAACCGGCGAGUUACGAUUUGAUGCAAGGUUAAGCAGUAAAUGUGGAGCCGUAGCGAAAGCGAGUCUGAAUAGGGCGUUUAGUAUUUGGUCGUAGACCCGAAACCAGGUGAUCUACCCUUGGUCAGGUUGAAGUUCAGGUAACACUGAAUGGAGGACCGAACCGACUUACGUUGAAAAGUGAGCGGAUGAACUGAGGGUAGCGGAGAAAUUCCAAUCGAACCUGGAGAUAGCUGGUUCUCUCCGAAAUAGCUUUAGGGCUAGCCUCAAGUGAUGAUUAUUGGAGGUAGAGCACUGUUUGGACGAGGGGCCCCUCUCGGGUUACCGAAUUCAGACAAACUCCGAAUGCCAAUUAAUUUAACUUGGGAGUCAGAACAUGGGUGAUAAGGUCCGUGUUCGAAAGGGAAACAGCCCAGACCACCAGCUAAGGUCCCAAAAUAUAUGUUAAGUGGAAAAGGAUGUGGCGUUGCCCAGACAACUAGGAUGUUGGCUUAGAAGCAGCCAUCAUUUAAAGAGUGCGUAAUAGCUCACUAGUCGAGUGACACUGCGCCGAAAAUGUACCGGGGCUAAACAUAUUACCGAAGCUGUGGAUUGUCCUUUGGACAAUGGUAGGAGAGCGUUCUAAGGGCGUUGAAGCAUGAUCGUAAGGACAUGUGGAGCGCUUAGAAGUGAGAAUGCCGGUGUGAGUAGCGAAAGACGGGUGAGAAUCCCGUCCACCGAUUGACUAAGGUUUCC